rnacentral:rRNA from 1 species
CUAAGGCGAGGCCGAAAGGCGUAGUCGAUGGGAAACAGGUUAAUAUUCCUGUACUCGGUGUUACUGCGAAGGGGGGACGGAGAAGGCUAUGUUGGCCGGGCGACGGUUGUCCCGGUUUAAGCAUGUAGGCGGAUGUUCCAGGUAAAUCCGGAACGUUACUAACGCUGAGGUGUGAUGACGAGGCACUACGGUGCUGAAGUGACAAAUGCCCUGCUUCCAGGAAAAGCCUCUAAGCAUCAGGUAACAUCAAAUCGUACCCCAAACCGACACAGGUGGUCAGGUAGAGAAUACCAAGGCGCUUGAGAGAACUCGGGUGAAGGAACUAGGCAAAAUGGUGCCGUAACUUCGGGAGAAGGCACGCUGAUAUGUAGGUGAAGCCCCUGCGGGUGGAGCUGAAAUCAGUCGAAGAUACCAGCUGGCUGCAACUGUUUAUUAAAAACACAGCACUGUGCAAACACGAAAGUGGACGUAUACGGUGUGACGCCUGCCCGGUGCCGGAAGGUUAAUUGAUGGGGUUAGCGGCAACGCGAAGCUCUUGAUCGAAGCCCCGGUAAACGGCGGCCGUAACUAUAACGGUCCUAAGGUAGCGAAAUUCCUUGUCGGGUAAGUUCCGACCUGCACGAAUGGCGUAAUGAUGGCCAGGCUGUCUCCACCCGAGACUCAGUGAAAUUGAACUCGCUGUGAAGAUGCAGUGUACCCGCGGCAAGACGGAAAGACCCCGUGAACCUUUACUAUAGCUUGACACUGAACACUGGUCCUUGAUGUGUAGGAUAGGUGGGAGGCUUUGAAGUGUGGACGCCAGUCUGCAUGGAGCCGUCCUUGAAAUACCACCCUUUAAUGGCUGGUGUUCUAACGUAGACCCGUAAUCCGGGUUGCGGACAGUGUCUGGUGGGUAGUUUGACUGGGGCGGUCUCCUCCCAAAGAGUAACGGAGGAGCACGAAGGUUAGCUAAUCCUGGUCGGACAUCAGGAGGUUAGUGCAAUGGCAUAAGCUAGCUUGACUGCGAGAGUGACGGCUCGAGCAGGUGCGAAAGCAGGUCAUAGUGAUCCGGUGGUUCUGAAUGGAAGGGCCAUCGCUCAACGGAUAAAAGGUACUCCGGGGAUAACAGGCUGAUACCGCCCAAGAGUUCAUAUCGACGGCGGUGUUUGGCACCUCGAUGUCGGCUCAUCACAUCCUGGGGCUGAAGUAGGUCCCAAGG